rnacentral:rRNA from 1 species
GACGAACGCUGGCGGCGUGCUUAACACAUGCAAGUCGAACGGAAAGGCCCUGCUUUUGUGGGGUGCUCGAGUGGCGAACGGGUGAGUAACACGUGAGUAACCUGCCCUUGACUUUGGGAUAACUUCAGGAAACUGGGGCUAAUACCGGAUAGGAGCUCCUGCUGCAUGGUGGGGGUUGGAAAGUUUCGGCGGUUGGGGAUGGACUCGCGGCUUAUCAGCUUGUUGGUGGGGUAGUGGCUUACCAAGGCUUUGACGGGUAGCCGGCCUGAGAGGGUGACCGGCCACAUUGGGACUGAGAUACGGCCCAGACUCCUACGGGAGGCAGCAGCGGGGAAUAUUGCACAAUGGGCGGAAGCCUGAUGCAGCAACGCCGCGUGCGGGAUGACGGCCUUCGGGUUGUAAACCGCUUUCGCCUGUGACGAAGCGUGAGUGACGGUAAUGGGUAAAGAAGCACCGGCUAACUACGUGCCAGCAGCCGCGGUGAUACGUAGGGUGCGAGCGUUGUCCGGAUUUAUUGGGCGUAAAGGGCUCGUAGGUGGUUGAUCGCGUCGGAAGUGUAAUCUUGGGGCUUAACCCUGAGCGUGCUUUCGAUACGGGUUGACUUGAGGAAGGUAGGGGAGAAUGGAAUUCCUGGUGGAGCGGUGGAAUGCGCAGAUAUCAGGAGGAACACCAGUGGCGAAGGCGGUUCUCUGGGCCUUUCCUGACGCUGAGGAGCGAAAGCGUGGGGAGCGAACAGGCUUAGAUACCCUGGUAGUCCACGCUGUAAACGGUGGGUACUAGGUGUGGGGUCCAUUCCACGGGUUCCGUGCCGUAGCUAACGCUUUAAGUACCCCGCCUGGGGAGUACGGCCGCAAGGCUAAAACUCAAAGGAAUUGACGGGGCCCCGCACAAGCGGCGGAGCAUGCGGAUUAAUUCGAUGCAACGCGUAGAACCUUACCUGGGUUUGACAUGGAUCGGGAGUGCUCAGAGAUGGGUGUGCCUCUUUUGGGGUCGGUUCACAGGUGGUGCAUGGCUGUCGUCAGCUCGUGUCGUGAGAUGUUGGGUUAAGUCCCGCAACGAGCGCAACCCUUGUUCACUGUUGCCAGCACGUUAUGGUGGGGACUCAGUGGAGACCGCCGGGGUCAACUCGGAGGAAGGUGGGGAUGACGUCAAGUCAUCAUGCCCCUUAUGUCCAGGGCUUCACGCAUGCUACAAUGGCUGGUACAGAGAGUGGCGAGCCUGUGAGGGUGAGCGAAUCUCGGAAAGCCGGUCUCAGUUCGGAUUGGGGUCUGCAACUCGACCUCAUGAAGUCGGAGUCGCUAGUAAUCGCAGAUCAGCAACGCUGCGGUGAAUACGUUCCCGGG